rnacentral:lncRNA from 1 species
AUCUUCCUUGAGCCAUGUAAGCGUGUUGGGAUGGAAGACACUGUAUGGUACCUUUAAAAGUACCCAAAGCGGACGAUCGAUGCCUCUUGGAUCCAUAAGAUGAGUGAAAGAGUAUAGAGACACAAUCAAAAUGGGGUUGAGCGACCGGAGGCACCCAAACAUGUUGAAUUCCCACAAACUCAUCUGGCACCAGAACACCUGGAGUGGUACCAAACUUCAGAUACCACAGCUACCCUGAUGAAGAAUCCUAUCAAAGCAUAAUGGAAAUGCGCCAAUUCCGCUUCAGGUAAGAUUUUUGUACCAUCUUCUACUUUUCUAUAGACUGGAUCUCAUUUAUGAGAUAGAUGCUUGGGCUGAGAGGUAUUGUAACUGCGCUGCUGCAGAGCCCCUAGCCUCUAUUAAACUUAUGACUAUCCCAGGGUUGAUCAUAUGAUUGAGAUAGGUAGAUUCAUUGCAUGCUGCAGAGCCCCUAUUAAACUUAUAACUAUCCAAGGGUUGAUCAUGUGAUUGAGAUAG